AGAGUUUGAUCAUGGCUCAGGACGAACGCUGGCGGCGUGCUUAACACAUGCAAGUCGAACGGAAAGGCCCUUCGGGGUACUCGAGUGGCGAACGGGUGAGUAACACGUGGGUGAUCUGCCCUGCACUCUGGGAUAAGCCUGGGAGACUGGGUCUAAUACCGGAUAGGACCGCAUGCUUCAUGGUGUGUGGUGCAAAGCUUUUGCGGUGUGGGAUGAGCCCGCGGCCUAUCAGCUUGUUGGUGGGGUAAUGGCCUACCAAGGCGACGACGGGUAGCCGGCCUGAGAGGGUGACCGGCCACACUGGGACUGAGAUACGGCCCAGACUCCUACGGGAGGCAGCAGUGGGGAAUAUUGCACAAUGGGCGCAAGCCUGAUGCAGCGACGCCGCGUGAGGGAUGACGGCUUUCGGGUUGUAAACCUCUUUCAGUAGGGACGAAGCGAAAGUGACGGUACCUACAGAAGAAGGACCGGCCAACUACGUGCCAGCAGCCGCGGUAAUACGUAGGGUCCGAGCGUUGUCCGGAAUUACUGGGCGUAAAGAGCUCGUAGGUGGUUUGUCGCGUUGUUCGUGAAAACUCACAGCUUAACUGUGGGCGUGCGGGCGAUACGGGCAGACUAGAGUACUGCAGGGGAGACUGGAAUUCCUGGUGUAGCGGUGGAAUGCGCAGAUAUCAGGAGGAACACCGGUGGCGAAGGCGGGUCUCUGGGCAGUAACUGACGCUGAGGAGCGAAAGCGUGGGUAGCGAACAGGAUUAGAUACCCCGGUAGUCCAA
rnacentral:rRNA from 1 species